CAAACACACACGCUCAUAUACAAACACACGAUGUGAAUUUAUUUUCUUGACAUUAUAUAAAGGAAGAGUGCAAUAUUUGGAGGAGGAGGGGAAAAAGCAAAGAAAUUGAGAGGAAUACAAAAGAAAAGAAAAUAUUGGAAAAUACUCAACAAAGAACAAUAUUGAAAGGCUGCAUUAACUUUUAAUAGAAGGUUUCACUUUAUCUCUAAAAUAAGCACCGGGGAUGAAGACAUGAAGUCUAGAUAGAGGCUAAAAUACGAGUGAAUAUUGGGGUCAUCGUUAAGAUUUCGAAUUCACACGAGGGUUCCAGUUCCAUUUCGGCUUCUAAAUCUCAUUGCUGUUAUGUUUAGUUUAGAUUUUCAUCAUUGUAAACUUGUUCUGGAGGUUCUUCCUAUCAUAUAUUGAUGAAGAUUUGCUUCCCCAGAUUUCUUUCUACCCUUUUUAUUAUUAUCUCUCAUUCCUUUAAAUGUUAAUAAUUUGAGUUAAAAGUUGAUAAAAGAUAAUACAAUAAUUUAUGAAAGAAAAUAUUUACAGUUUUGGAUGUUUAAUUACAGAAACAAUUGCAUAUCCAUGUAAUUUAAAUUUCUUCACUUUAGUGCCAAACAUAAUACUGAAAGUUGUUAUAUUUUUUGUCUGGAUUCUAACUAAUAUUCAAUAAUAUUUUCUUAAAAUCUAUUUCCAUGUUAAACCAUUGUUGGUUGGACGGAGGACCCUAACG
rnacentral:lncRNA from 1 species